UACGGAGGGUGCAAGCGUUAAUCGGAAUUACUGGGCGUAAAGCGUGCGCAGGCGGUUCGUUAAGUCUGUUGUGAAAUCCCCGGGCUCAACCUGGGAAUGGCAAUGGAUACUGGCGGGCUAGAGUGUGUCAGAGGAUGGUGGAAUUCCCGGUGUAGCGGUGAAAUGCGCAGAGAUCGGGAGGAACAUCAGUGGCGAAGGCGGCCAUCUGGGACAACACUGACGCUGAAGCACGAAAGCGUGGGGAGCAAACAGG
rnacentral:rRNA from 1 species